rnacentral:misc_RNA from 1 species
GAAAUAAUCAUCACUUCCAUCAAUUGAACAAACAAAAAGGCAAUAGCUUUAUAAAAAAUAUCUCCAAAUCUGAUUCAAACAGCACUUUAAAGAGCUAACAUGAAAAAAUUAUGAAGCAGAAAUGGAAUAUACAUAUCGCGUCAGCUCAUACACAGCGAUCAUUGUAUAUAAACAUCGAUGGUAAUCAGUAUAUCGACGCAUUUCAACAAAAAUAAUCAUAUUGUAAGUAUAUGGAUCAGAAUAUCUGGCUUGAAUUUUCCCCUGAACGGAGAAAAUACAUGAAAAAGCGCUCAGUAAUUU